rnacentral:rRNA from 1 species
UACGUAGGAGGCGAGCGUUGUCCGGAAUUACUGGGCGUAAAGCGCGCGUAGGCGGUCCCUUGCGUAGGCGGUGAAAGCCCCCGGCUCACCUGGGGGAGGGCCGCCUAAACGGGGGGACUUGGAGGGCGGUAGGGGCUGGCGGAACGCCCGGAGUAGCGGUGAAAUGCGUUGAGAUCGGGCAGAACACCAGUGGCGAAGGCAGCUCACUGGGACGGUACUGACGCUGAGACGCGAAAGCGUGGGGAGCAAACAGG